rnacentral:rRNA from 1 species
GCCNGGGAAUUACGAGNGCAAGNUUAAAAUCCAAAGGAUUUGACGGUGUCCCACCCACCUAGAGGAGCCUGUUCUUUAAUCGAUAAUCCCCGAUUCACCUCACCAUUUCUUGCUACCCAGUCUGUAUACCUCCGUCGUAAGCUUACCAUUUGAAUGCAANAAAGUANGUUGAAUGAUUACCCAUCAACACGUCAGGUCAAGGUGCAACCAAUGAAAUGGAAAGCAAUGGGCUACAGUCUCUAUAAUAGAAUACACGAAACACUACAUGAAAAACAGUCAUGAAGGCGGAUUUAGUAGUAAGAGAAGAAUAGUGUGCUUCUUUUAACAAGGCCCUGGGACGUGUACAAACCGCCCGUCACCCUCUUCAACAGCACAAUUCAAUUCAUAAUCUCAAAAAGCACUUUAGAAGAGGCAAGUCGUAACAUGGUAAGUGUACUGGAAAGUGCACUUGGCAAA